rnacentral:lncRNA from 1 species
CAAGGGUUGUAUCAGCUUUGGACAAUUGCUUAACAGAUAUAAUUGACAAAGGACUGGGUACUGUGAGCUAAAUUGCCCUGAGGCUAGAUUUUCACUGCAACAGUGUAGGCUUGAACGGCCUCAGCACUAUGGACUUCUGGGUCUCACUGCAGCCUGGUGCCAGGGCCUGGGACUUCAAGAGCUGUAUCUGAGGUACUCAUUUGUUGAAGUAGCCCACGUCACAGGAUCUCAAAUUUGGCCCAUGUUCAGUCACUGAAUAUGGUGCAGUAGAUACAAAGGGUGG